AUUGAACGCUGGCGGAAUGCUUUACACAUGCAAGUCGAACGGUAGAGGGGGCAACCCCUUGAGAGUGGCGAACGGGUGAGUAAUAUAUCGGAACGUGCCCAGUCGUGGGGGAUAACGUAGCGAAAGUUACGCUAAUACCGCAUACGAUCUAAGGAUGAAAGCGGGGGACUCGCAAGACCUCGCGCGAUUGGAGCGGCCGAUAUCAGAUUAGGUAGUUGGUGGGGUAAAGGCUCACCAAGCCAACGAUCUGUAGCUGGUCUGAGAGGACGAUCAGACACACUGGAACUGAGACACGGUCCAGACUCCUACGGGAGGCAGCAGUGGGGAAUUUUGGACAAUGGUCGGAAGACUGAUCCAGCCAUGCCGCGUGAAGGAUGAAGGCGCUCAGCGUUGUAAACUUCUUUUGUACGGGACAAAAUGCGACCUGCGGGUUGUACUGAGGGUACCGUAAGAUAAGCACCGGCUAACUCCGUGCCAGCAGCCGCGGU
rnacentral:rRNA from 1 species